AGAACGAACGCUGGCGGCAGGCCUAACACAUGCAAGUCGAACGCUCUCGCAAGAGAGAGUGGCGCACGGGUGCGUAACGCGUGGGAAUGUACCUCUAGGUACGGAACAACCCAGGGAAACUUGGGCUAAUACCGUAUAAUAUCUUCGGAUCAAAGAUUUAUCGCCUAGAGAUCAGCCCGCGUAGGAUUAGCUAGUUGGUGAGGUAAUGGCUCACCAAGGCUACGAUCCUUAGCUGGUCUGAGAGGAUGAUCAGCCACACUGGAACUGAGACACGGUCCAGACUCCUACGGGAGGCAGCAGUGGGGAAUCUUGCGCAAUGGGGGAAACCCUGACGCAGCAACGCCGCGUGGAGGAUGAAAUAUCUUGGUAUGUAAACUCCUUUCGAUGGGGAAGAUUAUGACGGUACCAUAGAAGAGCCCCGGCUAACUUCGUGCCAGCAGCCGC
rnacentral:rRNA from 1 species